UACGUAGGGGGCAAGCGUUGUCCGGAAUCAUUGGGCGUAAAGCGCGUGUAGGCGGUCCGGUAAGUCCGCUGUGAAAGUCGGGGGCUUAACCCUCGGAUGCCGGUGGAUACUGUCGGGCUUGACGUACGGAAGAGGCGAGUGGAAUUCCUGGUGUAGCGGUGAAAUGCGCAGAUAUCAGGAGGAACACCAAUUGCGAAGGCAGCUCGCUGGGACGUUACUGACGCUGAGACGCGAAAGCGUGGGGAGCAAACAGGAUAGAU
rnacentral:rRNA from 1 species